rnacentral:rRNA from 1 species
UACGUAGGGUGCAAGCGUUAAUCGGAAUUACUGGGCGUAAAGCGUGCGCAGGCGGUUUUGUAAGUCUGUCGUGAAAGCCCCGGGCUCAACCUGGGAAUUGCGAUGGAGACUGCAAGGCUUGAAUCUGGCAGAGGGGGGUAGAAUUCCACGUGUAGCAGUGAAAUACGUAGAGAUGUGGAGGAACACCGAUGGCGAAGGCAGCCCCCUGGGUCAAGAUUGACGCUCAUGCACGAAAGCGUGGGGAGCAAACAGG